UACAGAGGGUGCGAGCGUUAAUCGGAAUUACUGGGCGUAAAGCGCGCGUAGGCGGCUUUGCAAGUCGGGUGUGAAAUCCCCAGGCUUAACCUGGGAACUGCAUUCGAGACUGCAUUGCUAGAGUAUGGGAGAGGGAAGUGGAAUUUCCGGUGUAGCGGUGAAAUGCGUAGAUAUCGGAAGGAACAUCAGUGGCGAAGGCGGUUCUCUGGGCCUGACCUGACGCUGAGGAGCGAAAGCGUGGGGAGCGAACAGG
rnacentral:rRNA from 1 species